CCUACGGGUGGCAGCAGUCGAGAAUCAUUCACAAUGGGGGAAACCCUGAUGGUGCGACGCCGCGUGGGGGAAUGAAGUUCUUCGGAUUGUAAACCCCUGUCAUGUGGGAGCAAAUUAAAAAGAUAGUACCACAAGAGGAAGAGGCGGCUAACUCUGUGCCAGCAGCCGCGGUACUACAGAGGUCUCAAGCGUUGUUCGGAAUCACUGGGCGUAAAGCGUGCGUAGGCUGUUUCGUAAGUCGUGGGUGAAAGGCGCGGGCUUAACCCGCGGACGGCACAUGAUACUGCGAGACUAGAGUAAUGGAGGGGGAACCGGAAUUCUCGGUGUAGCAGUGAAAUGCGUAGAUAUCGAGAGGAACACUCGUGGCGAAGGCGGGUUCCUGGACAUUAACUGACGCUGAGGCACGAAGGCCAGGGGAGCGAAAGGGAUUAGAUACCCGUGUAGUC
rnacentral:rRNA from 1 species